UAGAGUUAUCAUCACCAUGUUGGUGACCUGUUCAGUUUGCUGCUAUCUCUUGUCAUGGCGAGAAUUCCUCUAGAUGUGCAGUCACCUCCACAUUGGGCCGCCUUCCUUGGCUCGCCUGCCCUGGCCAUCCUGCCUUAAACACCCACAGCACAGUUGACUCUUAUUCUCCAGUGCAGUGUUUUCCUGUUAGCCUUUUACACUUUGAUGAAUUAUGUGCCUCCUUAAUCUGAGCGGUGCCCAUGCCAUCAAAAGUUCAUGCGCUCCCCUGAGACAGAAGGUGCUCUGGAACCACGGCACUCUCCUGGGACUGUGGACCUGAAGAUGGCUCCUGCCUGCCCAUGACACGGGACCAGUGACGUGUUCAAACGCUGUCACGAGACAGUGAGACUCCAGUGCAGCAGCCGUAGGAGAGCAUGUUCAAGGGCAGAUCUGUCCCGACAGAACUACACCAAAGUCUAUUUUCAGGAUGAAUUUCUUACUUCUGCCAUCUUUUGGAAUAAAUUAUUUUCCUGCUUUCUAUGGAAA